UGUCGGAGCCGGAGGUUCCGGA
rnacentral:miRNA from 2 species